rnacentral:rRNA from 1 species
CGAUCAGUCACACUGGAACUGAGACACGGUCCAGACUCCUACGGGAGGCAGCAGUGAGGAAUAUUGGUCAAUGGGGGCAACCCUGAACCAGCGACGCCGCGUGAAGGAUGACAGGGCUUUGCCCCGUAAACUUCUGUCGGGAGGGAAAAAAGGACUGUUUGGCGGUCUGGGAUUGUACCUCUAAAGGAAGCACCGGCUAACUACGUGCCAGCAGCCGCGGUAAUACGUAGGGUGCAAACGUUGUCCGGAAUUACUGGGUGUAAAGGGUGCACAGGCGGUUUUGUGCGUCAGAGGUAAAAUCCCACAGCUCAACUGUGGACCUGCCUUUGAUACGGCGAGACUUGAGUACAAGAGAGGAUGAUAGAAUUCCUGGUGUAGCGGUGAAAUGCGUAGAUAUCAGGAGGAAUACCAGUGGCGAAGGCGGUCAUCUGGCUUGUAACUGACGCUUAAGCACGAAAGCAUGGGUAGCGAACAGGAUUAGAUACCCUGGUAGUCCAUGCCCUAAACGAUGUAUGCUUGGUGUUGGGAUUAAUUUCUCAGUGCCGAAGGUAACCCGUUAAGCAUACCACCUGGGGAGUACGAUCGCAAGGUUGAAACUCAAAGGAAUUGACGGGGGCCCGCACAAGCGGUGGAUCAUGUGGUUUAAUUCGAUGCAACGCGAAGAACCUUACCCGGGC